rnacentral:rRNA from 1 species
GAGAUGUGUGAUGACGCAUAUCAAUAAGCGGAGGAAAAGAAACUAACAAGGAUUCCCUUAGUAACGGCGAGUGAAGCGGGAAGAGCUCAAAUUUGAAAUCUUCAAGGUUCUACCUUGACGAAUUGUAGUUUAUAGAAGUGUUUUCUGUUAGUAGAGUGGCAAAAGUUCUUUGGAAUAGGACAUCAUAGAGGGUGAGAAUCCCGUAUUUGGUCAUUCCUUCCUAGCUUUGUGAUACACUUUCAACGAGUCGGAUUGUUUGGGAAUGCAGUCCAAAAUGGGUGGUAAAUUUCAUCUAAAGCUAAAUAUUGGCGAGAGACCGAUAGCGAACAAGUACCGUGAGGGAAAGAUGAAAAGAACUUUGAAAAGAGAGUUAAACAGUACGUGAAAUUGUCAAAAGGGAAGCGUUUGACACCAGUGUUGUUUUUCCGAAAAUCAAUUACGAAUGUUUUGUUUUUAAGAAGUUAUGACUUCAUCGGCUUGCUCCUUUCUUUAUGGAAACUUUCUUAAUGCACUUUUCGGUUAACAAGUCAACAUCAAUUUCUUUUGUUGUAAAAGGGUAUGAGGAAGGUGGCUUUCUUUUCGGAGAAAGUGUUUAUAGCCUUGUACCUCUGCAAUCGGAGAGAUUGAGGUCUGCAGCGUAGAUCCUCGGGGUUAGAUACGUUUGUGCUAAGUUAUAGCUUUUCAUAGACAACUUGUUGACUAUGUUUAGUCUUGUAGCUUACUCGCUUACGCUAUUUUACCUACGCUUAGGAUGUUGACGAUCAGCUGAGCGCG